ensembl:rRNA 5S_rRNA 5S ribosomal RNA
GUCUGUGGCCAUACUACCCUGGACGUGCGAGCUAAGCAAGGGUGGGCUUGGCUAGUACUUGGAUGGGAGAGAUGAAGAAAGCCCAGGGACUGCAAGCC